rnacentral:lncRNA from 1 species
AAACAACUUUUCAGAUUUAGGACAUUUCAUGACCAUGCCUAAACUUUAUCCAUACUCACUAAACAUUGAAUUUAAGCCUUGUGAAUCAACUGUACUUAGAGACAUUCAGUAUACCAGCCAUGUUCAGAUAAUUCCAAAUCAAAUUCAAGGCCAACACAGAAUACUAUCAAAGUUAUUCAGCACGUAUCAUGAAAAGGGCAAAAGCAUAAAGGCCAAAUUCUAGGGAAAAAAUGUAGGCCAUCUCGUUUCAGUACCAAUGUGCAUUACAAUUGCCAAACCCAAAAGCAACAUAAGCCUUUCAAAACAGUAAAAAAAAAACAUUCAUCAAAUUCAUGCACACACAUAGUCAUACACAUAUAUAUAACAUGCCAUAACUUUAAAUAACAUCAAAUGCAAGCUGAAACACACAUUCACCAACCGCCAUGGCAUAUGCAUUACCGGUUUAGAUUUCAAGCAAUCUUACAACAGCUCAAAGUGUCAAAGCAACUUAGCAGCAGUCACACUAACAUGUCCUAGCCAGUUCAAUUUAACAAAUUUCUAUACAUCAUAUCAAUAACAUAAUCUAAAUUCAACAUACUAAUUUGUAAUCCAAGUUUCAACAGCCUGCAAUUUACACUUAUAUGGCAUGCUUUAAACUAACUACUAGUAUAGUGCAACAACAUAACCUAACUGUACCUAGCUCUGUUACACAUGGAUAUGCAAGUUGCCUUAGCCAACCUUUUCCACUCACUAAUUGUUUUCAUAACAAUCUUUAGUUUAAUCCAAUUAAUCCUUAAUCCUCACCAGUUACAAUGGAUUUCCAGUUAGCAUAGUGGUCACUAACUUUUAACUCAUCCUAUCUUUCAUUAACUCACCUUAAAGAUUCAUGUAACUCAAUAAACAUUCAAGCAUCGUAACUAACUAUCAGUUUAAUUUCCCUAUACAUUCUAACUAAAACUAACCAUAACAACUAACUCCUAACAGAUCCCAACUAAUUAAUAGAACUCUAACUUUCAUUUCCAAACUAACUUCACAAAACAGUCCCUAACUGAGUUAACUUGCACUAACAGAAUUAACAUCUUCAUCACUAACUAACUGAGUUCAAAAUAACUAACUCUAACUGUCUAACUCAGUUACUAAUUAGCACUAACAUAAACUAAUUGAUUCAACAGCUAACAGAACUAACGAAAUCUAACAGUAUUAAUAGACUUAACGAACUUACACUGUGAAGAUCUAACAAAAUUUAACAUUGCUCUAACUGUCUAGAAGAAGAAGGAAGAAUUGGAGAAGGGAAGGAUUUGUAGAUUCAGGAACUACCAGAAUAUUGGUGGUUAUUCUUCGAAGUUCAUCUUCAUCUUCAUCAAUUCCUACAAAACCGGGGAGCACCUCAUCCUUGUAGGUAAGACUUUCUCCUUUUCCAUCCACUUGCCUUGAUUCGUUGGCCACGAUGUAACUUCAAGCCUCGGGAAUCAAAGCCCUAACAUGGUAGGCUUUGAUUCCUCAAGUUCGCCAUUUAAUUUGUGUUUGCUUCGUUAGGGUUCAUAAGAAUAUUUCUUCGGUUUAAGACUUAGGUUAGAAAUCAAGGAAAAAUAAUGUGAUAUGAUGAUAAAGAUGAGGGAGACGAACACGCUGGUAUUAGUUUGCUUGAGGUUUGACCUCCACCACCGCCGGAGGCAACUUCUGGCGCGGCGUAGUUAUUGUUUCAGAUGAGGGUAGCUCAUAGGCAUGUUUAGGAAGAAUUCUGAGCUUCUCUCCCCCUUCCACUCUUCAAUUCACGGUUUGGGCCUCACACUAGACCAAGACCCACAAAUUCCUAUAUGCACCCUGUUUUUCCCAUACACACAUUAUACUUUAGGAAAAUACGCUUGGGCCUUCUCAAUUAAGGCCCAGCAUCCUGUUUGCUGACCAUUGCACCCUACAAACGCCUCAUACCCCUCCUGAACUAUGACCAAC